AUUGAACGCUGGCGGCAGGCUUAACACAUGCAAGUCGAGCGGGGUGAUGGUGCUUGCACUAUCACUUAGCGGCGGACGGGUGAGUAAUGCUUAGGAAUCUGCCUAUUAGUGGGGGACAACAUCUCGAAAGGGAUGCUAAUACCGCAUACGUCCUACGGGAGAAAGCAGAGGAUCACUUGUGACCUUGCGCUAAUAGAUGAGCCUAAGUCGGAUUAGCUAGUUGGUGGGGUAAAGGCCUACCAAGGCGACGAUCUGUAGCGGGUCUGAGAGGAUGGUCCGCCACACUGGGACGGAGACACGGCCCAGACUCCUACGGGAGGCAGCAGUGGGGAAUAUUGGACAAUGGGGGGAACCCUGAUCCAGCCAUGCCGCGUGUGUGAAGAAGGCCUUAUGGUUGUAAAGCACUUUAAGCGAGGAGGAGGCUCUUUUGGUUAAUACCCAAGAUGAGUGGACGUUACUCGCAGAAUAAGCACCGGCUAACUCUGUGCCAGCAGCCGCCGUAA
rnacentral:rRNA from 1 species